rnacentral:lncRNA from 1 species
AAAAAUCAUUGCCUAGUACUCAAUAUCAGAUUUUUUUCCCAACCCAGUAUGCAAUUUGCAACACUACGUUAUCUGUUUCCCUCCUGAAUUCCAUUCAGCCAGGCCCUCCAUAGUCACAGGUUCUCCACCUUCCAGUUCAACCAACUGUGAAAUCUACUUGUUUCCUCAAAGAUAUUUGAGGGAAAAGAAUUCUAUCUAUACUGAAUGUGUACAGACCUUUUUCUUGUCAUUAUUCCAUAAAUAAUACAGCACAUAGUGUUUACAUUGGAUUAGGUAUUAUGAAUAAUCUAGCAUGACUUAAACUAUACAGGAGAUUAUACCAAAAUGCUAUACUAUUUUAUAUAAGGGACUUGAGCACCCACAGAUUUGGGUAUGGGGGGUAGUCCUGAAACCAAUCCCUGUGGAUCUGGAAAAGACACACAAGUCUAUGUAAACCUUCCUGUUCCAUGUUCACUCUAUCCGUGAUCUUUAUUAUUGAAUGUAUUGGAUGAGAGGUAGCAGCAGCAUCUUUCAGAGACAUGAUAACAUUCAGCCUAACUAUAUUACUGACCAUUCAUGCAGGCCAACAAAUCCUGUAAUACUAAAGCAGUGGUCUAUGGUAAUAUAGUUCAUAACUAAGGAAAAGCUAUACAAGUAGUGUUGCUCUUCUACUACCUUGAAACAGGACUUAACUAGAAUUUGGAGAUGAUGGAAAAUAUAGGCUGCACCAUUUCCUUUAAUAGGUAUGAUUGUCAAAUUCCCAAUAUUCUGUUAUAAUGUCUUGACUUACUGGGAUUUAUUUUAUCCAUCUCAAGAUGUAGAUCUUUUUAAAUUUGCCUUUGUUACACCGGUUGUAAUACCCCAAGUUUUGCUGGACUGAUCCACCACACACUUGUCCCAUUUGAAAAGUCCCUACUUGUUUUGCUGGGUUCCCUCUUUCCCCAUAAUAGGGACCAAAUCCAGUGCUCCAUUGAACUACAUGCUCAGUUCUUAUACUGGGUUUAUAUCAUUUAUCAUUUAUCUAUUCCUAAAUUUUUAAGUAAUUUUUUCCUUAUAUUUCUACUAGCUAGUAUAUUCAGAAUUGUGUCAUUUUUCUACUGCCAGAUGGUCCACCCAGUAAAAACCAUCUACUCUGCAACAUCAGGAUCAUAGAAAUCAGAGAUCAAAUAUCAAGUGUCUUAGCAGCAUGAAACUUUGUGAAACUGUUCAU